UACAGAGGGGGCAAGCGUUGUUCGGAAUUACUGGGCGUAAAGGGCCAGUAGGCGGCCAACUAAGUCACACGUGAAAUCCCCAGGCUUAACCUGGGAACUGCGUGUGAUACUGGAUGGCUUGAAUUCGGGAGAGGGAUGCAGAAUUCCAGGUGUAGCGGUGAAAUGCGUAGAUAUCUGGAGGAAUACCGGUGGCGAAGGCGGCAUCCUGGACCGACAUUGACGCUGAACGGCGAA
rnacentral:rRNA from 1 species